CAGCCGCGAGGCGGUAGCCUUCCUUGGCCCCGGCGAUUGCCGCCUCCGGUACUUUCCUAAGAGUCUGUCCUGGGGCAGAAGAGUCCAUAAUACAGUAUCCCGUGUUGAGACUGUAACCUUUAGCUGCAGAAGACUAUCUUCGUGGGAAAGCAAGCACUCCAACACAGGACGGUCCGAGCGCCUAGUGCGGAGGAAUAAACUGUCCAAGCAGAUCUGGGCUAGAGAAGACCUGUAGAGACUCUCUUGCUCUCGAGUCCAGCACUGGUUUAAAACAGGCAGGGAGAGAAGAGCGGUGUUUGAGGUCCCCUGAAAAAGCCUCACGUGUGAAGAUUCUACAGACUGAUUUAGAACUUUCUGAUUAUGGAGACUGGGCUAUUUCGGAUUCUCAGCCAAAGUUAUCUUGGAGACGGGCUGGAGAGGUGACUCGGUAGUUUAGAGCAUGUGCUUCUCUGCCAGAAGACCCGAGUUCAAUUCCCAGCCCCCACAUAGGCUGCUUGCCACUUCAUCCAACUCCAUCUCCAAGGGAAUCUGACACUGUUGGCCUACACAAGCACCUGGACACACUUACACACGAAUACAUAAAUACAAAUAAUAAAAAUGUAUCUUUAAAAGUGGUCUUGGAGUAUUUUUAGUUCCUUUAGUAGCUUAUCUCCAA